rnacentral:tRNA from 1 species
GAGGGUGCGGCUCGGGGUAGAGCGCGUACUUGGCAGGCACAAGGUCCUGGGUUCAAUCCCCAGCACCUCUC